AUUGAACGCUGGCGGCAGGCCUAACACAUGCAAGUCGAGCGGAUGAAGGGAGCUUGCUCCUGGAUUCAGCGGCGGACGGGUGAGUAAUGCCUAGGAAUCUGCCUGGUAGUGGGGGAUAACGUCCGGAAACGGGCGCUAAUACCGCAUAUGUCCUGAGGGAGAAAGUGGGGGAUCUUCGGACCUCACGCUAUCAGAUGAGCCUAGGUCGGAUUAGCUAGUUGGUGGGGUAAAGGCCUACCAAGGCGACGAUCCGUAACUGGUCUGAGAGGAUGAUCAGUCACACUGGAACUGAGACACGGUCCAGACUCCUACGGGAGGCAGCAGUGGGGAAUAUUGGACAAAGGGCGAAAGCCUGAUCCAGCCAUGCCGCGUGUGUGAAGAAGGUCUUCGGAUUGUAAAGCACUUUAAGUUGGGAGGAAGGGCAGUAAGUUAAUACCUUGCUGUUUUGACGUUACCAACAGAAUAAGCACCGGCUAACUUCGUG
rnacentral:rRNA from 1 species